rnacentral:rRNA from 1 species
UGGGGAAUAUUGGACAAUGGGGGCAACCCUGGUCCAGCCAUGCCGCGUGUGUGAAGAAGGCCUUUUGGUUGUAAAGUACUUUAAGCGAGGAGGAGGCUACCUGUAUUAAUACUAUAGGCUAGUGGACGUUACUCGCAGAAUAAGCACCGGCUAACUCUGUGCCAGCAGCCGCGGUAAUACAGAGGGUGCGAGCGUUAAUCGGAAUUACUGGGCGUAAAGCGCGCGUAGGCGGUUUGUUAAGUCGGAUGUGAAAUCCCCGGGCUCAACCUGGGAAUUGCAUUCGAUACUGGCAAGCUAGAGUAUGGGAGAGGAAGGUAGAAUUCCAGGUGUAGCGGUGAAAUGCGUAGAGAUCUGGAGGAAUACCGAUGGCGAAGGCGUCUUCCUGGACUCUAACUGACACUGAGGCGCGAAAGCAUGGGGAUCAAACAGGAUUAGAUACCCACGUAGUCCCUGAGCGGGCUGGCAAGGCGCAU